AAAUAGGUAAGCUAAACUAAGCUAUUGGGCUCAUAACCCAACAAUGGACUCUAUCCUCUAUUUA
rnacentral:tRNA from 2 species